ACCAGCAGCCACAUCACUCUGCAACUCACAACUGGUAACCCACUGAAGCUCAGCAGGUGUGAGCCUGGUCAGUACCUGGAUGGGAGACCUCCUGGGAAAAACUAAGGUUGCUGCUGGAA
ensembl:rRNA 5S_rRNA 5S ribosomal RNA